UGAAAGGAGUUGCUCUUGGCCUAAAAGCCUUGCUUGAAUAGGAAGAGCCGCAGAUGAAGAAGGGUUGUUCGAUUGGGGCUUAGGAAACAGAUCUGAAAGACUCACUCCCCAGAAUGGCCGGGACCCGGUAGCCCCUUGGCAGCUGAGAGAGCUUAAAUCCAAGACUCAAGGCUCUGCUGCCAGCUACAUUGGGCAGAUUCCCCACACGUGCUACCUUUCAUUAAUUAAUUAAUUCACUAUUUUUGGACCUUCCCUGAAUUUGGAAGGAACCGAAGCUAUGGCACUAGAAGCAAUAUCCAGAUAUGCUAGGGUCUAGGGACACCAGAUUUCCAGCCUUCUUCAUCACUUGGACAGGAGUUAUCCAAGGGGAACCCGGCAAAACCAGACUCUACAUCUGAAUUGCAUUCAAAACUCGAGGAAAGAGGCUAAAGGAAGGUUCCCCCACUCACCCCCAACCUCGGAUAUUUUCUCUCCUCUGCGGGAGCAGCCCCCAGGAGAGAGGCCCCAGCCCUUUUUAUAGGUGACGUAGGGCGCUACGUGGCCAACUCGGGCCCCAGCCCUAUGUUCAUAGGCUUCUACCCCUGAAGUGACUCUUCGGCGCCUGCUCCCCCUUCCCCCGCCCCUGCCCUCGGGGGGACGCCGCCUUUUUCUAAUCGGGACUCAGCCCUUUCUCGCCACAAACUCCCGUGCCCACCGAAGAGAGAGUGCUCUGGAGAGCCAGAGACAGAACACUUCCAAUCCCACCCUGAGAUUGGCCAAGAAAAAGGAGCAGUCCUGCGUGGCUCUUCUCAGGUCAGCUUUCAGAGAUUUCUGAAGGGCAAGUCCCUAGGAGUGGGACAAUCAACUCAUCUUUACUGAGUGACCAAUACUGGGAAAAAGAGAAGACCCUGGAGCUACACAAGCAUACUUUCUGAAGAUGCCAAUCAUAUGGAAACCACUGAACAGUUUGGAGGAAGAUGAAAAUAAGGCAGUGCUUGCUAUCAAGGGCCUGGAGAAACCCUUAAAAAGAGAAGUCAAGUGAAAUUUGGGCAAGACUGAGACCUCAGACCCGGUUUGGGACAUUGAAGACUCUAUGUAAAAACUAUUCUCUCACAGACUUUGAGACACUCCUAGACCUUGUAAUGAACUGUCCUACCCAAGCCCCUAGGCAGGGUAAAGGACGUAGUGUGGAUACCUUUCUGUUGUAACUCUAAUUUUGCUCUUUCCACUCCCUCCCAUUCUUCUUCAAUUAUAUCUUCGGCUUUCAAUAAACAUUUGCCAAACUAAUGCUCCUGGUGUUUC
rnacentral:lncRNA from 1 species